GGAAUCUUCGGCAAUGGACGAAAGUCUGACCGAGCAACGCCGCGUGAGUGAAGAAGGUUUUCGGAUCGUAAAACUCUGUUGUUAGAGAAGAACAAGGGUGAGAGUAACUGUUCACCCCUUGACGGUAUCUAACCAGAAAGCCACGGCUAACUACGUGCCA
rnacentral:rRNA from 1 species